UACAGAGGUGGCAAGCGUUGUUCGGAAUUACUGGGCGUAAAGGGCGCGUAGGCGGCCUUCUAAGUCAGACGUGAAAUCCCCGGCUUAACCUGGGAACUGCGUCUGAUACUGGGAGGCUUGAGUAUGGGAGAGGGAUGCGGAAUUCCAGGUGUAGCGGUGAAAUGCGUAGAUAUCUGGAGGAACACCGGUGGCGAAGGCGGCAUCCUGGACCGACACUGACGCUGAGGAGCGAAAGCCAGGGGAGCAACGGG
rnacentral:rRNA from 1 species